UACCUGAGCCACAAAUGGUAAUCACGUUUAUUGGGUCUAAAGCGUCCGUAGCCGGUCUAACAAGUUCCUGUGAAAUCUGGCAGCAAACUGUCAGGCAUGCUGGGAAUACUACUAGACUUGGAAUCGGGAGAGGUCGGGGGUAUUCCACGUGUAGGGGUUAAAUCCUUUAAUCCGUGGAGGACCACCUGUGGCGAAGGCGCCCGACUAGAACGAGUUCGACGGUGAGGGACGAAAGCGUGGGGAGCAAAUGGGAUUAGAUACCCCAGUAGUCCACGCUGUAAACGAUGUCCGUUUAGUGUCGCAAACCCUACGGGGGUUUGCGGUGCUGGAGCGUAGGUGUUAAACGGACCACCUGGGGACUACGACCGCAAGGUUGAAACUUAAAGGAAUUGGCGGGGGAGCACCACAAGGCGUGAAGCUUGCGGUUC
rnacentral:rRNA from 1 species